rnacentral:rRNA from 1 species
UUGCUUUCUUUGCUGGCGACCGGCGCACGGGUGAGUAACACGUAUCCAACCUGCCCUUUACUCGGGGAUAGCCUUUCGAAAGAAAGAUUAAUACCCGAUAGCAUAAUGAUUCCGCAUGGUUUCAUUAUUAAAGGAUUCCGGUAAAGGAUGGGGAUGCGUUCCAUUAGGUUGUUGGUGGGGUAACGGCCCACCAAGCCUUCGAUGGAUAGGGGUUCUGAGAGGAAGGUCCCCCACAUUGGAACUGAGACACGGCCCAA